AUAUUAAUGUAAACCAUUUAAUGAAUUUUUCACACUUAAAUAACAUUAGAUUCCAUAAAACCCAGAGAUGAGAUGGAAAAGCUCCUUUUUGUAUCCUUUCUGGAUACAGCU